rnacentral:rRNA from 1 species
GACGAACGCUGGCGGCGUGCUUAACACAUGCAAGUCGAACGAUGAACCGGUUUCGGCCGGGGAUUAGUGGCGAACGGGUGAGUAACACGUGGGCUAUCUGCCCUGCACUCUGGGAUAAGCCCGGGAAACUGGGUCUAAUACCGGAUACGACACUCCGAGGCAUCUUGGGGUGUGGAAAGUUCCGGCGGUGCAGGAUGAGCCCGCGGCCUAUCAGCUUGUUGGUGGGGUAAUGGCCUACCAAGGCGACGACGGGUAGCCGGCCUGAGAGGGUGACCGGCCACACUGGGACUGAGACACGGCCCAGACUCCUACGGGAGGCAGCAGUGGGGAAUAUUGCACAAUGGGCGAAAGCCUGAUGCAGCGACGCCGCGUGAGGGAUGACGGCCUUCGGGUUGUAAACCUCUUCCAGCAGGGAAGAAGCGAAAGUGACGGUACCUGCAGAAGAAGCACCGGCUAACUACGUG